UACGAAGGGGGCGAGCGUUGUUCGGAAUUACUGGGCGUAAAGGGCGCGCAGGCGGCUCUGAAAGUCAGAUGUGAAAGCCCCGGGCUUAACCUGGGAAUUGCAUUUGAUACUCUGGAGCUUGAGUACGGGAGAGGAUAGUGGAAUUCCCAGUGUAGAGGUGAAAUUCGUAGAUAUUGGGAAGAACACCGGUGGCGAAGGCGGCGACCUGGUCCGAUACUGACGCUGAGGCGCGAAAGCGUGGGGAGCAAACAGG
rnacentral:rRNA from 1 species